UUGCCGUGGGGAAACCUUUUGUUGGCCAUGUCCCAGCUGAUGCUGUUGCUCCCGAGGAGGUGGUUUGGUGAGGUUUGGAUAGGUGUCCACAGCCCCUGGCAGGGCUGGCGGGCUCAAGCAGCCCACUCUGCUACCCAGGAGCAGGUGGGCCCCGGAAUGCAGGGACAAGAAAGGGGCUCCUUCACAUGCCUAUUCCCUGCAUAUUGUAUUUGUUUAUUUAUUUGUUGUGUUUAUUUAUUUAUUUACAGCACAGGCAGCAUUAGCCCCAGAGGCUGGCAAGGCGGCUGAGUGGAUGCAGACGAGCUGCUCUCCCCAAGCGGGCGGACUCUGCCAACACCUGUGAAGUGAAAACCCGUCUGCGCCGCAGAUCUUCUGUGUUGUACUGGACCCAGCCCUUUCCAGCUGAGCUGUGGUGACCCUAGACACUGUCCUGAGAUAUGUUUUGGGGCUGCUGUCCGGGCUCUGGUGCUACGUGCAGCUGCUCUUGAAUAUCUUCAACUGAUCAUCAGCUGGUACGUCUCUGGAAUAGCUGAAGUGAAACAAACUUCUCAUGAUCCACCUACCUUGAAGAACAGAACCACUCUGUGAGUGAGAAAAGCCUGACUGCUGGCUGCCUUUCUUGCCUUCCAAAUCUUAGAGCAGCAAGAAAUGGAGACAUGGUUUGGGUCAGCAUCCAGGUACAGAGCACGCUUCACCUCCCAUGAACUGGGGAUGGGGAAGCAAAGGGAAGAGUGCUGCAGAGCUGAUUGUCUGCUCUCGAAGGCUUCCUGGUAGGGAGAGUCCUCAGGAUCAGAGCUGCUCCGAGCUGCUGAGGCAUGCAGAGGAGCUGCAGAUGGGGCUGAGAGUACAGCUUGAUACUUCUCUGUUCAGCCACCAGUCACAGCAUUAUCAAAUGCUCACUAGAGGUGGGUACCAAGGCUGCUAGAAGGGCUGAAGGCAAAGCAGGAGAUCUGCUUUUAAUGAAAAGAUAGUUUAACGCACAGCUUCUUUCUUCCUAUAAUGACAAAAUGGAUAUGAAACAGUUACACUCCAGACCCUUACUUUUUUUAGUGCUAUUUAUUUUUUUCACAACAUUUAAAACAAAACAAGCAAAAAAAGGGAAGGGAACAAAAAAGGAAAAAGAAAACUCCCUUCAGACAACAAUC